UCGGGAAUUUUGGGCAAUGGGCGAAAGCCUGACCCAGCAACGCCGCGUGAAGGAUGAAGUAUUUCGGUAUGUAAACUUCGAAAGAAUAGGAAGAAUAAAUGACGGUACUAUUUAUAAGGUCCGGCUAACUACGUGCCAGCAGCCGCGGUAAUACGUAGGGACCAAGCGUUGUUCGGAUUUACUGGGCGUAAAGGGCGCGUAGGCGGCAAUUCAAGUCAUCUGUGAAAUCUCCGGGCUUAACUCGGAACGGUCAGAUGAUACUGCUUUGCUAGAGUGCAGAAGGGGCAAUCGGAAUUCUUGGUGUAGCGGUGAAAUGCGUAGAUAUAGGAAGGAACACCAGUGGCGAAGGCGACCACCUGGACUGAUACUGACACUGAGGUGCGAAAGCGUGGGGAGCAAACAGGAUUAGAUACCCCCGUAGUCCCUGAGCGGGCUGGCAAGGCGCAU
rnacentral:rRNA from 1 species